UCCGUAGGUGGAUCAAUCAGUCAGAGGUGAAAUCCUGCAGCUUAACUGUAGAACUGCCUUUGAUACUGUUGAUCUUGAGUCAUUAUGAAGUGGUUAGAAUGUGUAGUGUAGCGGUGAAAUGCAUAGAUAUUACACAGAAUACCGAUUGCGAAGGCAGAUCACUAAUAAUGUACUGACACUGAGGGACGAAAGCGUGGGGAGCGAACAAGAUUAGAUACCCUGGUAGUC
rnacentral:rRNA from 1 species